UCCCGCCCCCCGCCCCGCUCCGAACCGCGGCCCGGGCCGGCGGCGUCACGGGCCGUUUGUGACAGCUCCGCAAAGCCGCCCGCGGGGUCAUGGUACGGGCGGCGGCGAGCCCCGGGGGGCGGCCGCGCGGGAGCCGCGCAGUAAUCUCGGUUCAAGGAGGAGGCGGGAUUCUUUGUCUAACGGCAGCGUGCAGGAAGCUGAGGGAAGGGCUGCCUCUGCGCUGUGACAGCUGACUGGAAGACGGCGUUUCUUUUUGGAAGAAUUUCUGAUUUCCUCAGUUUGGGGAUUAUCUUUUCCUUAGGCUGUUAAUUUCUCUGUUUUACUAUUUUGAGUAUGCUUAUGACUGUUUCUCCUUGCUUUAUCAGCAGAAUAUAAUGGGACAUCACGUCAAGGAAUACACUGCCUUGUCCUGUAAAGGAAACUCAAAGUAUGAAGAACAUCACAACAUAAAUUCUAAAAAUACAAUACUGGGGGAACCAUUCUUUCAAAGAACAGAACAUUUUGUUUCGUAUUUUCUGUCUCUAAGCUAAACCUUCCAGUGUACACAGAUCAAGUGUCCAGUUCACUGAUCCUUACUUUCUAAAGCCGAUGUUAAGUGUUCCCGCUCAACCAAUAUGUCUUGUCCUGAGCUUCAGUGGCAUAAUAGAAACAUCACUAAAUAGGAGUUUGUAGAGCUACAGUUAGUUCAAGUUCAGGGCAGCCCUUACUUGCCUCGCGCAGGGUGUCCUCAGUUAACUCAGGCCUCUAGUGCUCUUCCAAAUGUGGAUCUGUCAAGCCCACUGAAAAUCUGCUGAUUUUCCUUACCAAGACUUCAUCUCUGCCUGUAUUUCCAGAGCUUUCCUCUAACUUUUUCUUACAGCUCACUAUGUACCUACCUUGUGCUUUUUAGCUAAAUAAAAUUAAGUCAUGCUUUGGA